CAAGCAGUAUAUAUUGAGGGAGGGAAAGAGUUCAAAAACAGCUAAUAGCUAUAAAACAAUUAUUGAGCUGUAUAAAUCUUAGAAGACUUUACAAAGCCAAACAAGAAUCAAUAGCAUAUUGUAAUAAAAUCUGCUCAGACAAGUUAGUUUCCCCUAGAAGCUGCAAGGUCAGCAAUCUCCUGGCAUUCAAUAUCUGAAAUAUCCUGAAUAGAUAUAGAGUCAGAUAGGAAUUAAGACCAUGAAAGCAUAAGCUAGAGAAGGAU